CGGAAAGGACAUGGGUGGGGCCCACAGACGGCAGUAACAGCGAUCCGCUGACCCAUCAGCGCAAUUACCCCAAUUGCCCAAUAAUUAAAGCUUAUAAGUCCCACCUACUUUGUGUUCGAAUAUAAAAUAUUAGCAUUUUUGUUGCUUCAUACCUGAACUCAGAGCCGGCUUAUGUUCUCCUUGUCCCAGUGGGGUGGUGGUAGCGUUGGUGCUGAUAGUGGUGGUGCUGCUGCUGGUUGUUCCGCUGUCUUGGUUAGUGAUGGAGCCGGUUGUUUGUCUGCCUGUGCUGGGGAGACUGGUGCUGACAUUGGUGGUGGGACUGAUGUUGGUGGUGGGACUGAUGUUGGUGGUGGGACUGCUGCUGGUGUCCUGGAUGUCAGUUGUGAUGGAUGAGGAAGAUAAUGAAGAGGGUGUGGUUUGUGUCACUGAUGAAAUUGUCGGAUUUGUGGCGUUUCUUGGAUGAGUGCUGGUUGUAGUUUGGAUGGAAGUUGUAUUCAUGGGGGGCAGAGUUGUGCUGGGGGAGUUUGACACUGUCGGAUGUGUAGUUGAUGAACUUGAGGUUGUAGUAGGCCUCAAUGGCGUUGUUGGUAGUGAUCCUGUUACCUCUGCCACUGCACCACAGAACAGUAGACCUGCAGAUGCAUAGGACAGAUAUUAUUGUAGGUAUCACAGUCACCACUUUGUAUAAUUUACACAUUACGGUCGGUUUACUGGAUGAAUAAAAAAGAAAGCUACGAUGUUAUGUCAUGGAAGAUGUCACGAUGACGUCAUGGAGGGGAAUUCCUGGGUCACGUAAAGAGCCCUUUUAAUCAGAAAGACGUGCAAUGUUCCAAUGUCCACAAAGGUCUGUCCAUGAACUGCACUAAAUAAAGUAUAAUAACAAAACACUUAUCACAAAUUGAACAUACUGUCAAAAAACGUAAACAUUCACUCGGCCACUAAAUUAUUAAUUAAUCCACUGCUGAACAACAAAUGCACUAUUCCUCCUUUUUUUUGCUAAUUGAUAAAAGUCAGGAAAUUACUUGUUGUGUGAUGGACUCGUACAUUGUUGAUUUUGGUCUUUUUCAGGGAUUUGUUUCCAUUUAGAAUAAUAUUGAAUAAUGGCAGCCUUAAGCACUUCACAGCCUGUUAGGGUAUUUUCACCAGUUAGGACUUUAACCCACAGUUUACCAACUUUCAACUCAAAUAAGCCAGUUAAAAGUCAUGGCAGAAUCAUGAGAAUCAGAGAACCACGUCCUUCCUUCGCAGGAGAGGCAAAGUGUUUCAAUGAAAAGUAAGUUGGGCAAAGAUCAUGUAUGAUGCAUUCAAGGUGUCCCUGUCUUCUUAAUGCUCUAGUUGUCACUUUCUUUAAGAAAGAUUAGAGAGAACGGCACAACAAACUGCUAAAUAAAUAACCGCAUUAUUUCCUGACUGAAAUUGAUUCAACUCGAAACAUCAUCCUGUGGUCUAAGAGCUCCAUGACUCCCUCCGGGUUUCAUAUCUCCACAUAGAGAGCCAGCUUGUGAUUUUAACUGCGUUGUAUUAAAUGUCUUUUUCAAACCAAUGACAAAAAUCAAAUUCGGAGGGACUUUUUAAUGAUUUACAACUGUUUACAAAGCACCAAAUAGUAAGAGGGACAUUUUUACAAUGCAGUGGUACGUCUGCAUUCCCUUCUCCUCUCGCAGCAAAUUUUGCUUAAAUAAUAAAUAAUCUCAAUACUUCAGAAGUGAUCUUCCACAUAUUCUGACUUGCUCAAAACCAAACCAAGUCUAGUACAUAAAAAUAGAAAGAGGAAUCAGAUGUUUAGUUCUAGUCACUGAAUCAAGCAUCAGAUAUGUUUACUUACAUUUUAUGACAACCUGCAGGCCGCCCCUCAUUGUGUCUCUUUUUACUGACACCUGCGUAGCUGCAGCUCUGUGCACUCUGAGCGUGGAUCUGGAGUGGGUGGCUGCCAGUGACAGGAGGUGACUUAUUACAAGAGCCUGGAGGCGAGGCUACGUGACGACUGAGUCACACACAGAAAGAAAGAAAAAAGAGGCGGUCUGUUUGUGGGCUUUAGUGGCAUCUAGUGGGGAGACUGCAGACUGCAUUCCCCUUUGCACAUCCGUCUUUUUACAAAAGGUUUCCGAGAACUAAUAGUGGCUUUUGGUUGGAGCAGAAAGCCACUGAAAGUACUGAUGAGCGUAUUGCGCUUAAUAGUAUUCAAAAUCGUUUAUUCACUAAUAUUCCUUUACAUGAUUAUAAUGUCAUUUACUGCAAAGUGUGUGCAGGAUUUACGUAUUAAUAUUAAUUAAUUAAUUAAUAUUCAUUCAUUUCCUCACCCAUCAGUGUAAUAUCUCCAAAAUAAAUCUGUAUCUGCAUUUAGGUAUAUAUUCUAAUAUUUCAAUUAUACACCAUCUAAUCUAUAAGGAAAUAUGUUGGAAAGAAUAGCUUCCUAGUUCCGUGUGCGUAAAGUAUAGUAAAAUUAUUAUUUUUUUCCUAAGAGUCUGCAAUUGAUGUGUAUAUACUAUAUAUAUAUAUAUAUACAAAACUACAAAGUGUCUUUGAAUAAUAUAUAUACACUGCAUGGCAGAGUUUACUUACAUGCUUGCAGGUUUGCGGUCCUCAUCACUCUGUACAACCCCAAACUGUAGCCUUCUUGUGCUGGAUGCUUUCCUGUGUUGUGUGCUUCCUGUUGAUAGCAGUAGCGUGUUGGGUUGUUUGUAACUGUGGCUGACUGAUUAAGAGGCCAACACAACGGAAGUGAACUGAUCAUGUCACGUCCAGAUGGAAUGUCAGACAGAACUUGUAAAAAUGUGCUGAGAAUGUGAAAUGGGUGCGAUUUGGCCUUCACCCCUGACAAAGACACACAAAGGAUCCCUGAAGUUGUCUUUACCUUUUACCCAGAACAUAUUUUAUUGACAAACACACAAUAUUGUGAUUCAAGAGAAAUCUUCAUUGUACGGUAUUUCCAAUAAUUGUCCCUCCAUAUGAGCAAAACCAUGUCUUUUCAUCUCUCUCUAUUCCUUUCAGAGUGUGCAGAGAGAAUGUCAGUGCUCCCAAAACUAGGUCUUACAAUGUCCUCAAAGUCACCUACACUUGAUAAUGAUAUUGUUCAGUCUUACUCAUCUGUCAAUCAAUACAAGUUCAUUAUUUCUGUUGCUUAGGAAGGUCAUUCUACAAUCCAGAGACCCUGGUUUUAAUGGCCUUGUCGCUAUAUUCUGGACAGGAAGCAUAAUCAUAGAUAGGAUGUAUUCAUGGAGACUUAGAGGUCUGCAGGGAGGAUCACAUCAUGUAAUUCCUUAAAGUCUUUUGAUACUUGAUUGAUACACGGAUACAAAUUUGACAAUUGGUUUCCUGAGACGUGAGAAAAGGGAGGAGGGAACCGUCUACGUGAGGGGAGGUAAAAAAAAAAAAAAAGGCGAGUUACCACCUCAAGGUUAAUGAAUAAUGAAUACAUUUUAAUUGGGUAAAAAAACGAAACUGAACUAAAUACCGCACCCGGGGGUCAAAGUCAAGGUGAUUGAGGGAGUUCCAGGCUUCAUUAGCUCAAAGACAGCCGCUUGUGCAGAGAUUGACUUGAAGAUUAAUGGGAUGUAGAUUUUUUUUUUUACAUGUUUUACAUGCUUGGUGGGUGGCAAGAAAUGAAUUAAUUGUGAGUUACGCUCAUGCGUUCAACGGACAGAAUAGUCAAUGACAUGUUCAUGUUGAGAGACUUAAACUGCUGCCGAGACCCGAGUAAAGGAUAUAAGGAGAAAAAAAAGACACGUUACCACUUUAAAGUUAACAAAUGACGGAUGAGGCAUAACUUUAUUUAUUUGAAUAUAGUUUUGAGUGAUAUAUUUCACAUGAUUGAAGUUGGGGCCUUCCUGAAUAGGAAUUUAAAUUACAUUUGAAAUAAAAUAAAAAAAACAUUUGAAGGAAUAUAUUUACUUAUUUAAUUUGAUAGUUUUAAAUACAGAUAUUUAGCAAGUAACUGUAAUUGUUUCUUCAAUUAAUCAUUUUUGAUGGGUUACUGAUUACAAUGACAUCAUUUAACCAAUCUGCCCAACAUUGAUGGAACACCAGUGGGCUGAAGAUGGAGCCUUGGUGAAUACCACAAGAGAGAAUAUAACAUAUGAGUCGUGCUCUGCAAUAAACAAGAGGCCGUGGUCAGUGACAAGGCGCAACAUGCAAUGCGGACGCCCUGUCGAUGUCUGCUAAUUCCAGAGAACUUGAAUCAAAAUCACAUGGACCGCCUCUAAGAAUUAUUUUGAAUAAAUUGUUUAGUUUGAAAAACAUCAGGAAAUUGUAAAAAGUCUACAUCAGUUUCUUGCCAGUUUUAGAUUUUUGUUUUUAGAUUAAACGUUUGUUGUUAAUAGUUUUUGUUGUUGUUAUGAACUGUAGUUCCCAUUGUGAGCCAGAAGAGAGCAGCAUGUUCAUGUAUGAUGGAAGAUCAGAGA
ensembl:lncRNA